AUGCUCACCGUGCCACCACUGUCUGGUUUGCCGGGUACCAAUCCUCUCUGCACCCAGUCCACGCGCUCCGAAUCGUCGUUGCAAGCCCAGCGGCCGCGAGGUCUCGCACUCUUGCUCGGUUUUGCAGUUUGGGAUAAAGUAGUCCACUUGCAAUAAACUGAGAGGUUAUGUAAACUUUUUCUAAUACUGCCCAGGUGAUUGGAUCUAGUUGCAGUUGGUAAGCGGAAUUACUUUCUACUAGUUUUCAGUGUUCAACUGAUCGAUGAUUGCCUGGUAGACAUGUCCUAGGUGACCCUUCGGACUAGCUGGCAGGCAUCACAGAUAGUUUCAUCUACAUUUUAAUCCUUGAGGUAUGUUAUUAGGUACGCAUGACGUAAAAUUGUUAUAUGUGGAAUCUUUUAUGAAAUAUGUAUUCUUAGCCUGAGUGUGAGGUCAGGAAAUGGAUUUCUCCAUGAGCUCCAGCACAUGUCAUGGCAUUUCAGCUGCUGCCGAUUAAAUUUAUCAAGAUAUGAUAAGAUUUGUAAACUAAUGAGUUGAUGAUGGAGUCGGUGGGUGUUGUUGGCAAGUCGGUGUGCAGCUAAGGCUGCAACCACGUGUGGGAGUUGUUGGUGAGCCGGUAGACAUCAGAGAUGUGGCUGCAGCAGCACUUAUACCGCCUCUGCAGCAGUCGGAUGGUGUUGUUGAGAGCACAGCCGUGGUGAGUGAUAUGGCUAUGGAUGAGGCUGAUCCACACAAGGUGUGUGGAGCUGACCAAGAGGGCUUCACUAUUACUGAGGCUGAUGCUGGGACCAAUAUGCUUGGUGUCGUUGGGAUGGACGGUUGCGAGGAGGCUUUGGUGAUGCCGGUGAAGUUGGUUUCCGUGCAAGCACAGGGACCUAGUCGCCGCUCUAGCGCGAGAAGGGCGGGAUCUCUCGACGAGCACUCGUUGGUGAGGGCACAACGUCUUACUGCGAAACGCAACCUUGAUCCACAAGGAUGAAAUGGAACAAGGAAAAAGCGGUGUGAAGAGAUUGGAAAUUUGAGGCAAAUGCUGGAGCUUUUUCUAUUUUUGUUUUUGGUGUGUUGCUUUUGAUACUAGAAGAUAACAUGCAACUUGUUAUUUUGACAUGCUUCUCAAUGUAAAUCAAUGUAAAUAUGAGAUAUAUUUGAUUUAUGCUGUGGUAAAUGGGCUGGAUAUUUUAGUA